UGAGGAAUAUUGGUCAAUGGACGAGAGUCUGAACCAGCCAAGUAGCGUGCAGGAUGACGGCCCUAUGGGUUGUAAACUGCUUUUGUAUGGGGAUAAAGUGGGGAACGUGUUCCCUUUUGCAGGUACCAUAUGAAUAAGGACCGGCUAAUUCCGUGCCAGCAGCCGCGGUAAUACGGAAGGUUCGGGCGUUAUCCGGAUUUAUUGGGUUUAAAGGGAGCGUAGGCCGUUUGGUAAGCGUGUUGUGAAAUGUAGGAGCUCAACUUCUAGAUUGCAGCGCGAACUGUCAGACUUGAGUGCGCACAACGUAGGCGGAAUUCAUGGUGUAGCGGUGAAAUGCUUAGAUAUCAUGAAGAACUCCGAUUGCGAAGGCAGCUUACGGGAGCGCAACUGACGCUGAAGCUCGAAGGUGCGGGUAUCGAACAGG
rnacentral:rRNA from 1 species